UCGAGAAUAUUCCACAAUGGACGAAAGUCUGAUGGAGCGACGCCGCGUGCAGGAUGAAGGCCUUAGGGUCGUAAACUGCGGUAGUACAGCAGCAAUGCAAAUGAGCGCUGUACGGAAAGAGGUGGGUAACUACGUGCCAGCACCAGCGGUAAUACGUAGACCUCAAGCGUUAUCCGGAUUUAUUGGGCGUAAAGCGCGUGUAGGCGGGUCGUUAAGUUGGGGGUGAAAUCCCGAGGCUCAACCUCGGAACUGCCUCCAAAACUGGCGACCUGGAGCAAGAUAGAGGCGAGUGGAAUUCCGAGUGUAGAGGUGAAAUUCGUAGAUAUUCGGAGGAACACCAGUGGCGAAGGCGACUCGCUGGAUCUUUGCUGACGCUGAGACGCGAAAGCGUGGGGAGCAAACAGGAUUAGAUACCCAGGUAGUCCCUGAGCGGGCUGGCAAGGCGCAU
rnacentral:rRNA from 1 species